GUGGCGACCGGCGCACGGGUGAGUAACGCGUAUGCAACCUUCCUAUCAGAGGGGAAUAACCCGGCGAAAGUCGGACUACUUCCGCAUAAAACAGGGACACCGCAUGGUGAUAUUUGUUAAAGAAAUUCGCUGAUAGAUGGGCAUGCGUUCCAUUAGGUAGUUGGUGAGGUAACGGCUCACCAAGCCGACGAUGGAUAGGGGAACUGAAAGGUUGGUCCCCCACACUGGUACUGAGACACGGACCAGACUCCUACGGGAGGCAGCAGUGAGGAAUAUUGGUCAAUGGGCGAGAGCCUGAACCAGCCAAGCCGCGUGAAGGAAGAAGGAUCUAUGGUUCGUAAACUUCUUUUGCAGGGGAAUAAAGUGCAGGACGUGUCUUGUUUUGUAUGUACCCUGAGAAUAAGGAUCGGUUAACUCCGUGCCAGCAGCCGC
rnacentral:rRNA from 1 species